rnacentral:lncRNA from 1 species
AAUGUGGGGUCAGAGCCCCCACACAGAGUCCCCACUAGGGUAGUGCCUGGUGGAACUGUGAGAAGAGGGCCAUUGUCCUCCAGACCCCAGAACGGUAGAUCCACCGACAGCUUGCACCGUGCACCUGGAAAAGCCACAGUCUCUCAAUGCCAGCCCAUGAAAGCAGCUGGGAGAGAGGCUGUACCAUGCAAAGCCACAGGAGUGGAGCUGUGCAAGACCAUGGGAAGCCACCUUUUGCAUCAGCGUGACCUGGAUGUGAGACAUGGGGUCAAAAGAGAUCAUUUUGGAGCUUUAAGAUUUGACUGCCCCGCUGGAUUUCGGACUUGCAUGGGGCCUGCAGCCCCCUUGUUUUGGCCAAUUUCUCCCAUUUGGAAUGGGUAUAUUUACCCAACGCCUGUAUCCCUAUUGUAUCUGAGAAGUAAUUAACUCACUUUCGAUUUUACAGGCUCAUCGGCUCAGAUUUGCCUUGUCUCAGAUGAGACUUUGGACUAUGGACUUUUGAGUUAAUGCUGAAAUAAGUUAAGACUUUUGGAGAUUGUUGGGAAGGCAUGAUUGGUUUUGAAAUGUGAGGACACAAGAUAUGUGAGAGUCCAGGGGUGGAAUGAUGUGGUUUGGCUGGGGCCCCACCCAAAUUUCACCUGAAUUCCCACGUGUUGUGGGAGGAAUCUGGUGGAAGGUGGUUGAAUCAUGGGGGCAGGUCUUUCUCACGCUGUUCUCGUGAUGGUGAAUAAGUCUCGCAAGAUCUGAUGGUUUAAAAAGGGGAGUUUCUCUGCACAGGAUCUCUUUAUGCCUGCUGCCCUCCAUGUAAGAUGUGACUUGCUCCUCCUUGCCUUCCGCCAUGAUUGUGAGGUUUCAGCCACGUGGAACUGUACUGGACUCGAGUGUUUUGCAAACAGAAAAUCAUCACCCACAGUUUACCAGGUGUUAUGUGUAUGUAAGAGAGAGAAGUUCUUCAAUAUGGGCAUCCAAGCGCUCUAGAAUGUGAUGAGACCUCAGUUCCUCCUCUUCCAAAAAUCUGGUAGCUAUUGAACCAAGGGGAGAUACAGGCAAGGAACACUGGAAGAGACACAAAUUUUGACAUGUGUAAAUAAGUAGAAUAUUAUAUUUCUAAGAUACACUGUUCAUGACAUUUUCUAACUAGCAAUAUUAAAAGGUGAUUUUUUUCCUCUGAAGAUACUUUUUUGGUUUUCAUCCUAAUGACAAGAGCAAUAAAAGAACAAAAAUCAGUAAGUUCUGCAAAAAUUAACACAGAUCUCUCCGUUUCUGACCCAAAUUGUAACAAUGUAAAGUAUCAUAUAUUAGUUAUUGGUCUGAAGAAUGUUUCAAUUUAGACUUAUAUAUGCUUCCAUAGUUAAUGCCUAUUAUUUC